rnacentral:rRNA from 1 species
UGCCAGCCGCCGCGGUAAUACGGAGGGUCCAAGCGUUGUUCGGAAUCACUGGGCGUAAAGCGCGCGUAGGCGGCAAGGUAAGUCGGAUGUGAAAUCCCAAGGCCCAACCUUGGAACUGCACCCGAUACUGCCUAGCUAGAGUCUCGGAGAGGGUGGCGGAAUUUCCGGUGUAGAGGUGAAAUUCGUAGAUAUCGGAAGGAACACCAGUGGCGAAGGCGGCCACCUGGACGAUGACUGACGCUGAGGUGCGAAAGCGUGGGGAGCAAACAGGAUUAGAUA